GCCCGGGUGGCUCAGUCGGUGGGGUGUCCGGCUCCUGAUUUCGGCUCUGGUCAUGAUCCGGUGGUUCGUGGGUUCGAGCCCCACCCCAGGCU
rnacentral:tRNA from 1 species